GAUGAAGAACGUAGCGAAAUGCGAUACUUGGUGUGAAUUGCAGAAUCCCGUGAACCAUCGAGUCUUUGAACGCAAGUUGCGCCCGAAGCCAUUAGGCCGAGGGCACGCCUGCCUGGGCGUCACACGUCGUUGCCCCCCCAUCUACUCCUUCGGGAUUGCGGGGGGCGGAUGAUGGCCUCCCGUGCGCCACGCCGCGCGGUUGGCAUAAAUGCCAAGUCCUCGGCGACGCACGCCACGACAAUCGGUGGUUGCGAAACCUCGGUUGCCCGUCGUGUGCGGUCGUCGCGCAUCGAGGGCUCGAAAAAAUUGCCGGGUUCCGGCUCGGCUUUCAACGCGACCCCAGGUCAGGCGGGGUUACCCGCUGAAUUUAAGCAUAUCAAUAACGGAGGA
rnacentral:misc_RNA from 1 species